GGAGGAAUUAACUCAUGUACAUACAGAAAAUCUCCACAGACUUGUCUUCCAAUAUUUGUUCUGGAAACUGGAACACACAGAUAAGGCAAGCGCCUGACAUUGGAACUGCAGAAUAAAUUUGCAUUCUCCACGCCACAAAGAGCCCCAUUCACACAGCACUGGGGGAGGCGGCAGGAAGAGGGAAAACCUACUCUCGGCCAAAGGAAGGGUCUGACGGUCUUUCCUCCAGGAGCAAGUUCUCGCAGGCGAGAUCUCAGCCUGUUAGCACUCAACAGCCUAAAACCCUGGAGUCUUAGACCCCUCAGCCCUUGAAUUAUCACUUAAUAGAAUCUUAAGACCAAAAAAUUUCAAGUCAGAAUCACAAGACUUUAGGAUUUAAUCAUUAUCCUGGCCACACCCUCAACCAGCACUGGAGUCUGCUCCAUCCUACACCAAGCCUCCAGGCUUCGGAUCAGCCCCAUGGCCACCUCUUCAGGGCAGCCCUCCUUGAUCCCUGAUCAUCCUGAUGAGAACUUGGAGCAGGACCUGAGUGAGAAAAGGAACAAGCCAUUAAAAACGGGGUGGGGGAAGAUUGUGUCUGUCUGGAUUGAGGCAACAGAUAGUGCGAAGGUCCUGGGGUACGAAUGCAGUUCAUGUGUUUGCGGAAUAGUGAGACUCGGCUUCUAAAUGUGCGAUGAGACAGGAAAAGCAGUGAGGCCAGAAGCUAGAGGAGCCUGUGACUAGACUCUGCUCUGCUCUGCCAUGCUGUGCACCUCCCUGAGCCUCCAUGGAUCCAUCAGGAUAGAAGAAGAACUCCACUGCUCCCAGACCCACAAGUGGAGCCUGGUGAAGCCUGGAGGUCCUCACAAGACCAGGCCACUCAGUUCCAGCUUCUGCCCCAGAGCUGUUCAGAUCCUCAAGGGCAAGGAUUUGUAUCUGUCUGUUUAUCGCUGCAUUUCCAGCGUCUGGAACAGCGCCUGUCAAUACGUAUUUUGUGGAAUGAAUUGUCUGCGUGAUGAGGAAGCUGAGGUGCAGAGAGGGAAAGUGGCAGAACUGGAGUGUUGAAUCUUAAAGGAGACCCACGGAGUCCACGCCAGCCUGGCACAGCCCACCGUUUCAUCCUGCCUUCCCCAGGC
rnacentral:lncRNA from 1 species